rnacentral:lncRNA from 1 species
CAGGGGCGCGAGCGGAAGUGCUCCAGGGGCAUGGAGGAGAGGACGCGUCAGGCUCCCAGAACUGGAGGAGGUGGUAGCUAACCGGCAACGCCAAGGGUGCCCAGGCAGUGCCCAGUAGAGGGCACUGUUCAGAGCAAGGACAGUAGGUGCUGCCUGCAGUGAUGCACACUGUCUCAUUAAAGUCGAAGCCACGUUUUUAAAGAAGCUGUUGAUAGGGUUCUUUACAGUUGGGAGACCAGAGCCUGAGAUUUGGUGUCUUGAGGGUCAGCGCGCAGCAGGAAGGCUCCGCGGGCCUGGCCCACGUGGCUUCCCGCCCUGCCUGGCUUCCCGCCCUGCCGGUGCGGCGGGGCUUGGGUCUCUCCUGCUCACGGCCCUGGGGUGUACGUCGUCGCAGCCAAGUCGAUGACAGGUUCUGCUAGGCUUGAACAGCCGCCCUCGCUUGAGAGUUCAGUGUAGCUGCAGGAAGAUGCCUCACAUGCUAAGAAAUCACGGAGGAAAUAGACAGCAGCAUGAAAUGAGAAGGGUCCUGAUGAUAUUGGGACCUGCUGGUAUAUCUUGCUGUCUGGUUCCGUGUUCAUUAAGGAAUCCAUGUUCCUUCCAAGAAGCAGUUUUGGCAAGCGUUCUGCAGGAAGCUUUAGGCGAGGCUGUGAGUGCAUUGUCCUAGAGCCUUCUGAAAUGAUUGUGGUGGACUAUAUGGAUGAAAAUGAAGAAUAUUUUCAGCGUCAAGCCUCUCACAGACAGUCUCGAAGAAGAUUUAGAAAAAUCAACCAGAAAGGUGAAAGACAAACAAUUAUUGAUACUGUGGAUCCUUAUCCUAUGGGCAAACCACCCUUGCCUAGAGGCUAUCAUACGGUAAAUUACACAGAUGUAAAAUCUUUAUUUAUUUUAUUUUUUGGAAGUUGGGUGAAAAGACUUUUAAAAUUUUCAUUUUGGAUGAGUAAUUUUCUAUGAUACACAAAACAUAGGUUUUGCUGUAAGCACACGAUAUGAAUAGUUUUUAGCAGGCUUUGAAAUAAGAUGUCAAAGACAGUUUAGCUCUUUUAUUUCCUAAAAUAUUCUCUGAAGAUCAGCUUUGGGAUAAGCAUGGAGAAUUAUUAUUGGUAUAUUUUAGGUUGUCUUAAUCCAAAAUUUUAGCUUCCUUCUGUGAUCCCUCCUCCCAGUACCACACAGAGUUUUUAUUUAAAAAGUGGAUAUGUAAAAGCUACAUAUUAUUUUUUAUACUGAGAGUUUUUUUAAUGAAGUCAGUGGAGAAAAAGUUUAAAGUGAUGUUUUCCCCUGCUACCAUGGGGAAGGAAGCCAGUACCUUCACACUGAGCUACAGUCUGAGCCCUUUUUAACUUUUGUUUCUUUAAAUUUUGAGACUGAGUCUCACUGAGUUGCUAAGUUGCCCAGGCUGGGCCUGAGCUUGCUGUCCUCCUGCCUCAGAGCACCAGGGCCCGGGAUGGCCCAGCUCUGAAGGGGUGGUUUUUAUGACUUUGUGUGGAGAUGCUCUGAAGCAUCUAAUUGAUUCAGAGCUCCUUUUUCAUGCUGUAAUCUUCUUUAUUGUCAUUUAUUUAGUGAAGAUUUGAUAAAUUUCUUUUUAUGUUUGAAGAAACCAAGACAUAGAUAAUGUUUUAUACAUGCCCUCUGUAAAGUCAGUUGACAGCUUUAUUUUCCUCAUUCCUUUGUUUUAAACAAAGGAACAGCGAUGUCCAAGACUGACUAUCUUACACAUUACACGAAUGGUCACUAUAUGUAAAAUAAAUUUAAGAAUAAGUACAUGAUAAAAUGAAAGUAGGUAAUUGAUACCUACUUUACACUCUUCAGUUUUUUUCCUUUUCUUUCUGCAAAUAAAUAUAAAUGCAAAAUGCAUGGACAAUAUCUGUAGGCUUAAAAUUCCUUAGUUUUUAGUAAGGUUUUAAUAUUCAUUCUUCAUAUAUUCUUUUCCCGGAGAGCUCUUUGUAUGUAAAUAUUAAAUGUGUUUUGACCAGCAGCAAA